rnacentral:rRNA from 1 species
UACGUAGGAGGCGAGCGUUGUCCGGAAUUACUGGGCGUAAGGAGCGCGUAGGCGGCACGGUACGACCGGUGUGAAAGCCCCCGGCUCAACUGGGGAGGGUCACCGGUAACGGCCGAGCUAUGAGUGCAGGAGAGGGAAGUGGAACUCCGGGAGUAGCGGUGAAAUGCGUAGAGACCCGGAGGAACACCAGUGGCGAAGGCGGCUUCCUGGUCUGCAACUGACGCUGUGGCGCGAAAGCUAGGGGAGCAAACGGG